UCUCCGUUGGUGAACCAGCGGAGGGAUCAUUACAGGACUCGCAAGACUCCUACAACCCUGUGAACUUAACUAUAAGCACGUUGCUUCGGCGGGUGUCUCGGAGGGGGUUCUCCCUCCCCGAGACGCUAAACCAGCCGGCAGCCUACUAUACUCUGUCUCUUUGCGUUGGCAUCUCGAGUACAAUCAAACAAGUUAAAACUUUCAACAACGGAUCUCUUGGUUCUG
rnacentral:misc_RNA from 1 species